rnacentral:other from 1 species
GCGGGACUGCCCGGCACGAGCUGCAUGAAAAUCCCUGAGGCUAUAAGCAAAUCCUUGGGUGCUGUCCCUGCCCGGCUUGCGGGUUCGUCCCGAAGGCCGGUGCACAUGGCGCCCACCUGACGUCACGCGUCAGAGGAUUUCCCGGCAAACGACCCAUGGUGGUUCCGCC